AAAAUAAAAAAAACUAUGGAGAGACAAAACAUGAACUGUAUUAACAUUAAAUCGUUGCUUGCAACUACAAAUAGUAUUAAAAAAAGAAGAAAAAUGCAAAAGAUGAUGUUUGUUGAAAAGAAUGUGUUCUUAGAUAAGUUUAGCACCAGAGAUCGAAGUCACUCAGGGUCAAGUUUUACUUCUGUCACACCCUGUGGCAGCAUAAAAAGUAAUGUUUUAGCUAAAACUGUUUAUAUCAAUAAUGCUGCUACAUAUAGUGGAUUGUAUUAUGAUGUUAAGCGGAACUGCUUAUCUGAGUUCCUACUUGAGCCAUACAGUUCUUUUUGUUAUUUUUGGCAAAUAGUGCUAUUAUUGUCAAUAAAUUAUAAUAUAUGGGUUGUUGUUUUUCGAAUAGCUUAUCCCGAUGCUAAAGAAUUUCAAGUACUAUGGUUUUCUCUUGAUUAUGUUGCUGACCUCUUUUAUUUAGCUGAUAUAUUUAUUUCAUCACGUAUUUCUUAUAUUCAAAACGGAAUAUACGUAAGAGACAAGAGAAAAGUAAUGCUUGCUUAUAUUAAAUCAAAAAAGUUUCUGAUUGACAUAAUAACACUCUCUCCAUUUGAUAUUCUUUAUAUCAUAGAUGAAGUGCGACCUGUUUAUCGAUUACCUAGGUUACUUAAAUUUCUCAAUAUAUUUCAAGCUAAAAAAGUUGUAGAGGCUGUUACAAAUUUUCCAAAUUUAGUGAGGGGAACAUUUUGGUUAAACAUGAUGUUUUUGGUUUUACAUUGGAAUUCAUGUUUUUAUUAUAUCAUUUCAAAAAGUGAAGGGUUUGGUUCAGAUCUAUGGGUAUAUCCAAAUCACACUGGGGUUCACAAAAGUCUGCUUCAUCGUUAUAUUAAAUGCAUGUACUGGUCUACAUUAGUUCUUACAAAUAUUGGAGAAAGCUCACCUCCUGAAACAACAAUUGGAUAUUCGUAUAUGAUUUUAUGCUACAUUAGUGGAAUGUUCAUCUUUGCUGCAAUUGUAGGUCAGGUUGGGAACAUUAUCCAAACUAUGAAUGCAAGCAGGAUGGAAUUUGAAAGACAAAGAGAUAAAACAGUGCGUUAUAUGAAAAAACACAAUGUGCCAUUAGAACUUUGGAAACGAGUAAGACAUUGGUAUGACUACACCUAUUCCAGAGAUCGCUUUGAUGGUGGCCAGGAUAUCAAUGAAAUAAAAAUACUUCCAGAUAAGAUAAAAACUGAAUUGGCCUUGCAUGUCCAUUUUGAAACCUUACGUAAAGUUUCAUUUUUUCAAAAAUGUCAGCCAGAGUUUUUGCAUGACUUAGUUCUGAAAAUGAAGCUUCAUAUAUUUACCCCGGGAGAUUUGAUUAUAAGAAAAGGUGAAAUAGCCAGAGAGAUGUAUGUCAUCAGCGAUGGAACUGCAGAAGUAGUUAGUGAGAGUGGACAAGUACUUAGGACUCUUAAACCUGGAGACUUUUUUGGAGAGAUUGGUCUACUAAGUUUGAAUGAUGGAGACAACAGAAGGACUGCAAAUGUUCAAUCUUGUGGUUACCUUGAACUUUUUGUUCUAAGCAAAGAGGAUGUCAUUUCUUCAAUUAAAGACUAUCCAUUAGCACAAAAUAUUUUAGAACAGUAUGGGCGUAAAAGAUUAGCUUUUGGACGAAAAUGCUGCAGAGCCUUAGCAAAUAAAAGUAUGACUUCAACAAAAGGGGAAAACAUUGGAAGGAAGCACAAAGGAUUAGGAAAUAAGUCGAAGACAAUUAAUCAACAAGAAGAGGAGAUCAAAUAUAGAAAAAAAGCAAAUCAAUUUUUUGAAUCUUGUAGCCCUAACGAAAUGAAAAAAGAAGUUUGUAAAGAUUACAACAAAAUGAUACCUCGUGAAAACACACCGUUUAACAAAAAUGAUCAAAGUGUAGUAUUCUAUGUAAAAACUAAACCAAACUCAUAUAGAGUGAUUUGCUUUGAAAUAAAAAAAUCAAUUAUUGAUUGUGCAGAUCUUAAGCACAGCACAUUAGGAGACUUCUUAACUCUUCCCAUCAUGUCCAAAGAAUUUUCCUCUAAAAGAAACUGUUUCAAAAAACAGAGAACUCUGAAAAAACGUUUUUACAAAAAACAAAAUAGGCAAACUUUAAAAUGUUGUCUGCAAGACUAUUGCUUAAGAGAAUGCUAUAAAGAAAAUUUAGCACUGAAAAAUGUUCUGAAAAAUGUCAAAAAAGUAAAAAACAAUGAAUAUUUUGGCUUUGACCAGAUGAAUCACUAUAAUAAGCAAUGCAUUAAUAAAAAAAAUAACCAAACAUCAAGUCAUAAAUAUUUUGAAAAGGACAGUUCAAAAUUUUCAAGUCACAGGCGUUUGAGUGAACUUACUGACAUUACUGAGCCUUACUACAAUAUAAACAGUCAUUUUCAAGAAAAAAGUCAUGGAAUUGGAAUUGUCAAUUCGAUUUCAGAUUUGCGUAAAUUAAAAUCAGACCCAGAAAAUGUAAAGCAAAAAUCAACAAGACUCUUGUAUGAAAGAAGCAUCAGAUCAUCUUCCAAAAAUUACAAUAAUUAAGACAAAUGAAAAACAACAAAAUAGCUCUAUCAUGUUGGAACUUAGCAAUGACAACAAAAGUAUGUUUCACACUGAAAUCAACACAAUAGACAAGCAAUAUGCUGAUUUAACACCUUUUGAAUGAAUGAAUGCUUUUCUCCAAUCAACUUACCAAUUUUACAAAGAAGUCUACUACGCCGUCUCGCAUUAAUAAAAAAUCAAUAUGUUCAAAAAAGAAUAUCGAAUUCAAUUUUGAAACUUUUUGAUUCAACUAAAAGAGUAUUACAUUUUAGAAAGAGAAAACUUAAGUUAUCAAUUUAAAUACGUCUAAAAACUUAAAUAUUUGACAAAGAUUUGUAAUCUUCACCUAAUAAAAGAAAUUUAUUUCUUCUUCAAUAA
rnacentral:misc_RNA from 1 species